rnacentral:rRNA from 1 species
UACGUAGGGGGCGAGCGUUGUCCGGAAUUACUGGGCGUAAAGGGCGCGCAGGCGGCCGUGUAAGUCCGCUGUGAAAGACCGGGGCUCAACCCCGGGGUGUCAGCGGGGACUGCACGGCUGGAGUCCCGGAGGGGGAGGCGGAAUACCUGGUGUAGCGGUGGAAUGCGUAGAGAUCAGGUGGAACACCGAUGGCGAAGGCAGCCUCCUGGACGGGUACUGACACUGAUGCGCGACAGCGUGGGGAGCAAACAGG